AGAAAGGCAAAAAUUCGGCUUUCACUACACAUUUCCAUUACAUAUCACAAUCCUCUAAAUCUCCAUUCUCACCUUCUUCUUCUUCUUCUUCUUCUUCUUCUUCUUCUCCUUCUUCUUCUUCUUCUCUGUUUUCUUCAAUUUCCCAUUCAUUUUCCCUGAGUUUCUCUUCAAUUUUCUCCCCAAGAUUCUUCUCAUUUCCCCAUAUCCUCUUCAGAAAUCCCCACUCUUUCUUCACUUUCCAUGUCUUUGAAGAGUAUAAUUCAGGAAAUGAGAUCCAGGUCCCGCCGCGUCGUUCAGGAUGGAUCCACGCCCGAAGUCGGCGACGCUUUGGCGCAGAGCUGUUGGGCUUACAUGCCUCAGGAGUUGUUGAGAGAGGUCUUGGUUAGAAUCGAGAGUUCUGAGAAUGCUUGGCCUCCGCGGAAGACCGUGGUGGCCUGCGCUGGAGUUUGCCGGAGUUGGAGACGGAUUACUAAGGAGAUUGUAAAAACUCCUGAGGUUUCUGCUAGAUUGACGUUUCCUAUUUCUGUUAAACAGCCUGGUCCAAGGGAUUUGCUUCUUCAUUGCUUCAUAAAACGGAAUCGAUCCGCACAAACUUAUUGCCUUUACCUUAGUUUGACUAGUGCACUUGCUGACGAUGGAAAGUUUCUUCUUGCUGCCCGUAAAUGUCGACGGGCCACCUGCACUGAUUAUAUAAUAUCUUUGCAUGCUGAUGACAUGUCCAAGGCAAGUGGCACCUUUGUUGGAAAAUUGAGAUCUAAUUUUUUAGGAACAAAGUUCACCAUCUUUGAUGGACAGCCACCUCAUGCAGGAGCCAAAAUUUCAAAGAGUCGUUCCUCUAGGCUCGUGGGCCUGAAACAAGUAUCACCUAAAGUUCCUGCCGGCAACUACCCUGUGGCUCACAUCUCAUAUGAAUUAAAUGUCUUGGGUUCAAGGGGUCCAAGGAGAAUGCAUUGUGUAAUGGAUGCUAUUCCUGCCUCUUCUAUCGAGCCAGGAGGGGUGGCUCCAAUACAGACUGAAUUCUCGCCGAGCCGUAUAGAUUUUCUUCCAUCAUUGCGAUUUUCCUGGUCAAAAUCGAAUCACACAGACAAUCAACCAUCGGGAUCUUCAACUAAUCAGAAAGAUGGAGUUCUAGUGCUUAGGAACAAGGCGCCUCGGUGGCACGAACAGCUCCAAUGUUGGUGUUUGAACUUCCAUGGGCGAGUGACAAUCGCUUCUGUGAAAAAUUUUCAAUUAGUAGCUUCACCUGAAAAUGGAGUUGCCGGACCUGAACAUGAGAAGAUAAUCCUUCAAUUUGGAAAAGUAGGAAAGGAUAUAUUUACUAUGGACUACAGAUAUCCAAUCUCAGCGUUUCAAGCUUUUGCCAUCUGUCUCAGUAGCUUUGACACAAAGAUCGCUUGUGAAUGACACAUCUCUGAUCAGGACCAUGUUAGAGCAAGCAGUGAAAUUUUCUCUCAACAACAAAAGCUAUGGAGUGAACAUAAAUGGGUUUAACAAUUAACGAUAUCAUGAAAGACCCUUGAAUUGAAUGGGAAGGAAGAAGUGGGGGCUUAAUUGGAAGCCAGGCUUUGAAUUUCACAGCUCAUAUCCCCAAUUUUUGUGACGAUGACCGAAUGCUGAGGAAUCUUCGAUGAUUGAAGCAAAUUUUAAGAAAUAAGAAGUUGAGUCUCAAUCCAUCAUCGACCUUCUUGCUUCUUCAUCCCGCAAUUUUGCAUCCAUUUCCUUGCUUGGAGGAUACUUGGGGAGGCUGGAAGGCUCACAAGCAUAUGGUUUGGUAGUGAAAAACUGCAGAAUAGAAGAAAGUUAACAAAAUGUCAAUAUACAAGAGAAGUAGAGCAAGAGCUAUGACAAAUAAAAGAGAUCUAGUAACAAGUGCUUUUCUUUCUCCAGGUCGAGGGAGGGGGACAGGAAUAUAUGUCGACGAAGAAUAACAGGGUAAAAAACUCUAUUCCGCAAUCACGAGGCGGAGAUCUAAUAGUGAAAACUAUUAGCCAUGGAGCAAGAUGCCAUCUCUCAAUCUACAGCAAGACCAAGCUUGCAUGGCCAAAAUAAUAGAGUUUCACAUAACUCUGUUUUAGUCCAAAGGUCUAUACCGCCAAUUGUUUUUUGGCCGGUUUAAACUUGGCUCAUAAUUUUUUUUUGUGGUUAAAUGAAAAAUUUGGUCCACAAACUUUCAUGUUUGUGUCUAAUAGGUCUCAGAACUUAAUCAAAUAUGCCUCUAACUUUUCGAUCUUA